AGCAGCUCCUGGAAUUUCCCUGCCCAGCGGAUCCCCCGGCCCUUCCCUGCCCCUGGAGCUGGAGGAGCUGCAGGAGACCGAGAUCAGCUUUUGAAUCGGCGCCGAUGGAAUCCCAAAA